UGUAUGUAUUUUGUUUUUUUGUUUGUUUUCUGUUUUUGUGAGCUGUCGUCUGGCUUUUUUUGUUGUUUUUGUUAGAUAAUAAUUUGUCUUCCUUUAUUUACUGACUUUGUUUUUAUGUCUUCCUUAGGAUGCAUCAGAGUUUCAUGCUGUUCACACUAUACUUGGGGAUAUUCAGACAUUUAAAGUCUUAAUAUUUCAGCAAUACAUUAAAACUUCUGGCCUGGAAAAAUACUGUGAUACAGGUUGAAUUUAUCUUUUUGCACCCCUCUGUCAUCAUAACCACUCCCUGCUCCCUCCUGUUCUAGGAAUCCAAGCUCUUAUGCUAACAAUUAAAAAUUAAGUCCACAGACUGCAGGUAAACCCUAUGCUUGAGCUACUGGUGGGUUGCUGGAAAAUUAAUAUUUGAUGGAAAUUUGAAUGAAUUGUCUCUUCCCCCCCCUACCAAUCCCUGUGUAUGGUCAAAAAAUAGGACAUUCCAAUACUCCACAGUGAUGGCCACAGUGCUGAUGUUAUAAAGGAGCAGAAAGAUGGUAAUGAACUCCCUCUGGUACUGGACAAGGGUGGUGAUGAAAACAAUGCGAGACGAUGGACUCAGGGGUUCUCAAGGCAGAGAAUGUAAAAAUGAGCAACUUCUUUAACCAGAACUGACCUUGAAGACAAAUGGCUAAAAUAAAACAUUUGCUGAAUUCAUUGGGCGCAUCUUACAAGUAAUUUUUGGAUUCUGCAUUGACUGCCUACAAGUGCCUUCUGGGUACAAGUCCACAGGCAAGAUUUGUUCUGCAAAUCUUCCAUGACCAAGGUCACCUCUUUGGAUUGGCAGACCCAGGGAGUCCAUGUUGGGAAGAUAAAUUCACACUUCAUCCCUUGUUGAGAUCUCCAGCCUUGCUCCUCUGAUAACUAACCAGGUAGCCUUCAUGUGUGAUGACCUCAGUCACAUCUGCUGACCUAGUAGACUGAAAACUCCUUUACAGCAAGGCCUACGUCUGUCUCCCUCACCAUUGACUCUGCAGUGCUCAGCAGGGUAUCACGCAUGUAGUAAAAACUGAUUGUUGAAUGAAUUAAAUGACCAUAAGUACAAUUGUUUUUACUGCAGUUUUUUCAUUGAUUUGUCUACUAAGAUAUGCAUGCAUGUGUUGAGUGAGUAUCACUGAGUCUCUACUUUAUGCCAGGUAUUGGUAUGAAUGUUGUGAAUAUUUCUUUGCUUUGAUGGGUGACACAGAAGUUUGGGGGGAUUAAUUACUGAUACACAACAAAAUAAUUAUAUUAUUUGAAUACAAUUACUAUGCCUAUAGUUGGAAUAUUAGUCCAAUCUAGCCAAAACCAAUCCCAGGGAAUUUAUCACUUACUGAGCAUCCAUGAUGUGUCUGGCCCUGUGUUAGGUACUGAUAAGAGAUCAAUUAGACCAGUUUCUGCAGAAAGACACACAUAGGUUAGCAGUGGCAAGACAAAUCCUAAAGUACCUAUUAUACAAGGGAAACUAUAAUAAAGAGCCAGGUGAGUUGAAAGCAGGAGAGGUAUCAUUGUACCACAAGAUACCUCGUGAUCUUGUGUAAAUCCCCUGAACAAUCAGAAAAAGCGUUAUGGCAUAGCUUUAUGGUCAUAAAUCUCACGGGGACAGGCAGUUCUUUGCAAUUCCUUUUAUAGUCGCAUCCUUCACUCUUUAACCCUGCACUGUAUGCCAUUCAUUCUCUCUGUGCUUUCAGCCUUGGUCAAAUGUCUCAGGACUGGAAAAUAAACUGGAAUGACACUCAGGCAGUUGAUAUCAAGAUUAUUAGGGUCAUGAUUGUAUGUAUAAGACCCCAAGACCUCUUGAUGGUUUUACAAGCAUGGGUACUUUUUUUGUACUUAUGUUUUCUUCUUUUGCCCCAAGUUUCAAGAGUAUGUUACAGCAGCAGUAUAAGCAUACACAAUCAAAGGUGAUUGAAGUGAGGAAGAUUGGCUCAAUGAGCUCCAGCCACUUCGACUCUCCUUCUAGUCCCUAACCCACCAAACUAAUUGUCCCCUUGCCUGGAAUGCUUCACCCUCAGAUUUUGGCAUAGCAGGCUUCUUUUUGUCAUUCAGAUCUCAGCUCAACUGCAAGACUUUCUCUGACCUGAAGUUACAUAUGAGUCACCCCUUCUGGUCUCCGUUGCUGUCUAUCACAUCACCUACUGUGCUUCCUUUAUAGCCUUUAUCUCCACCUAAUUGUGUCCUUCUCAGUGUUUUUCUUUAAACUUUUUAUUGUCAAUUUUCUUUCACUAGAUGUCAGUUCCAUGAAGUAGGAAACCUUUACCACCGGUCUUGAGUGCUCUGGAAAGUGUAUGUGUGCAAUAGGUGCUCAAUAAUGUUUACGAAAUGAUCAGCUGGAUGUACAUAUGGCAAGUGGCAAGAAGCCAAGGGAAUAGGUCAAAAGUCCUAUUGUGUUCCUUGCCUGAAGAAAACCUCUUGCAAGAAUCAUAGGCUGUUCUCGAGGGUGCCUUUGCCUUGGAUUCAGCCCAAAAUUCUCCUAUUUGUUUUGUGUGAGCGUUUUCCUCCCAUACACAGCAAUGGGCACUAAGAAUGCAUAUAUCCAGACUUUUCAGGUUACAGGAUGGCAUCUCAGAUAUAGUCUUCCUUUGGUCUAUAUACUAUGAAGUCAUAAUUGCUUAAGCCAGUGUCUUUUUCAGGAUUUACUCCGUACUUCUUAUUCGAGGCCUUUCAGGUGGCCACUGCCCUGGCUUUCAAAUAUAAUUUAGAAUUUAGCUUCGGAUUGGUAAAGCUAUUCAUGUUGCAGAUCUUCUCUGAAACAUUUCUGUCACAUUUUGGAAAGCUUUACAUUUUCUUUUGCUAAUGAUUUUCAUCUGCCAAAGAGCUCAUCUACUUAAAAAGCAGAUCACUGAAGCCACACUUGGCACAUAUUACUUUGGCUUAUUUUCUUUCGAUUGUUUUGCUUUUCUGCGAUAACUUAUUUAUGAAGAAAGAGAGAACGUUGACUUUUUAUUUUAGAAGAGAGGAUAUUGCUUGCAUUGAGAGUUCUAGUUAUAUAAAAUGUAUUUAUCUAAGUUUUUAACUAUAUCAAAAAUGGAGCAGUCAAUGUUUGGAAAUAGUUCGGGGUGAAAAGUUUUUAGCAUGUUCACAUAUUCUCUUAGCUGUUUUUAAAUAAUUUUGCAAAGCUUAUUUGCAUUUCCCAAAUUAACAAUUUUGACCAACAGGAAAAGCUAAAGUGUUGGUUUUUCUCAGCUCAACUUUUUGGGUGUAAUUAAUUUAUAAGCAGGAUUUUAUGAAGGGAGAACAGAUAGGACCUUUCUACAAAGUCCCUGAGCCAAAAUAAACACCCCAUUGUUCCAUAGUUUUGUAUUGCACAUAGGAAAACAUCCAUCCCUAUCAUUUUUCUAUUAAAGGGACACAGAUUACCAGAUUUGUAAUUUUAAAAAAGGCCAUUUGUUGAUUGAGCCACUUUGCGUAUAAAGGGUGGUAUAUAUUGCCUGCCAAAUUUCUGUCAACACAAGAAAAAAAAUCAUAUAUCAAAAAAAAAAAUUUCUCAUUCAUCAUGUAAGAAAUUUAUGCAUUUUAGUAUGUACCAGAAGAAAUGGCAUUGGCAUUUUCUGUUUUUAGCAGUCUAUUGAAAUUUCUUGAUUAAAGACAUUUUCUAUUUGAAGGUUAAAAUGACCAUAUAAAUACAGAGUAAUUCAGGUUUAAUAGAUGCAUCUUCCUGUCAUUUACCACUUUCCUCCCUCAACAUCAGCUGCAGUGAUCAACAUAUAUUUGGCAGUGAAACCGAUAUAUUCUGUUUAUCUUCAAAUCAUAAGCUUUUUGUUUAAAUACAAAGGAAUAUCUUAUACCUCUGAUUUUAAUAUGACAAAUCAAAAAGUCCACACCAAACCCCCAACUCAUCCCAAAAAAGAGAUUGCUAUCUACUCACUACUGUUCACUGCUUCCAAGAUUUGUUUCCCUUGGGGUUACUGUUUGAGCAACUUUUCUUACUUCCAAGAUUAUUUUUCUGGUUUUAAGAAAGAAUCUGAAUUCCAAGAUUUUUUUGUUUGUUUGUUUUCAGAAAGAGUCUGAAAAUCUAGAGAUUACUUGCCUUGUGGUGAGGUGGUUGUCUAUGCCUCUGUUCAACCAAGUCCUCAUAUACUGAAUGGAAAAAAAAUCAGGACCUAUAAUUUUCUAAGCAUUGUGCAAGAUAAUAGAGGAGACAAAAAUGAUGUCUUGCUUCAGAAGUCUUAGAUCUAUUUCUCUUUGGGGGUUGAGGAAUGAGAAAGAUUUUCAGAUGAAACAGGAAGCCCAAUGAGGACUAUGUGGCAAUAGCUCCUAAAAUGAGCAAAGAGAUAAAUUUACUUUUGUAUAUGAUUACAACCAAAUCACACACUGGUAAGUUUCAAAACAGUAGUUUUCAUUUAGAAAGCAAAUUAAGUGGAAUAAUUCAACUGAGUUUCACGGCAAUGGGAUUCAUUCUAGAUGGUUCAACUGUAGAAUUAGAAACAAUAUCUAAGGAUGUUGCUGAUAGUAGUCAGCUGAUGAAUACCAGUGAGCCAUAUACGGGUAUACAUAAUUUUAUUGUGCUUUGCUUUAUUGUGUUUUGUAGAUAAUUGUGUUUUUACAAAUUGAAGGUUUGUUGCAACCUUGUGACGAGCAAGUCUUCUGGCUCAAUUUUUCCAAUGACUUGUGCUCAUAUUGGUUCUCUGUGUUACAUAUUGGUAAUCCUUGCAAUGUUUCAAACAUUUUUAUUAUUAUUAUAUCUGUUAUGGUGCUCUGUGAUGAGUGAUGUUUGAUGCUAUUAUUAUAUUGUUUUGGCACACUAUGAAUUGCACCCAUAUAAGGUGGGGAACUUAAUAACUAAAUGUUGUGUGUGUUCUUACUGCUCCACUAACUGGCUCUUCCCUUAUCUCUCUCCUUCUCUUCUGGCUUCCCUAUCCCUUAUCUCUCUCCUUCUCUUCUGGCUUCCCU